GACGAACGCUGGCGGCGUGCCUAAUACAUGCAAGUAGAACGCAGUCGCGAACGGGUGAGUAACGCGCAGGUAACCGCCUCAUAGCGGGGGAUAACAAUUGGAAACGAAAGCUAAUACUGCAGACUUUGAGAUGGACAUGCGUUGUAGUAGCUAGUUGGUGAGGUAAAGGCUCACCAAGGCGACGAUAGAUAGCCGACCUGAGAGGGGGAGACGGCAAACUGGGACUGGGACACGACCCGGAAUGCUGCGGGUGACAGACGUCGGGAAUCUCUGAGAAUGGACGGAAGUCGGACCAUGCAACGACGCGUGAAUGAAGGAGGUUUUCGGGUCGUGUGGCUCAGUAGUUAGGGAAGCGGUAACUUACCAGAAAGGCACGGCUAACUACGUGCCAGCAGCCGCGGUAAUAC
rnacentral:rRNA from 1 species